UCUAAUUUUCUUCCUCUUUUUUUCUCCCAUAUUCUCAAGAAAAAUUCUUCUUAAAAAUUCUAUCCCACAAGAAAAAGAAAACCUAAAAGUGGUCUGCUUUUUUAAUUUUUCUUUUGGAUGAAAAGUUAGAUCUAAACCCUAAAACUUCAGGAGGAUUUUAUGUUCUUAUAUAUACUUCACUUUCAAAGCUUCAAAGAUUUAUGAAAAUUAUGAGUGAAGUUGGAGUACUCUAUCGAAAUAUUCGUGGACAUUAUCUGAGGAUAAUAACUUGAGUAAAAGUUGAGAACUUAGCAAGAAGGAUAUUAUUAUAAAUAUUAUAAGUGAAAAUGUUUCAGCCAAAUAUGUUUGAAAGCCAUCAUCAUUUACUUGAUAUGUCACAUAAUAAAUCACCAGAAAAUGAUUUGGAUUUAAUUAGAGAUGAUGAAUUUGAGAGCAAAUCAAUGGCAGAUAUUAUGGAAAAUAAUCCAUGUGGUGAUGAUAAUGAAGAUCCUAAUCAACGUCCAAAUAAAAAGAAACGUUAUCAUAGACAUACACAAAUUCAAAUUCAAGAAAUGGAAUCGUUUUUCAAAGAGUGCCCUCAUCCAGAUGAUAAACAAAGAAAAGAACUAGGAAAAAAAUUAGGGUUAGAGCCUUUGCAAGUGAAAUUUUGGUUCCAGAACAAGCGUACUCAAAUGAAGGCUCAACAUGAGCGCCAUGAGAACUCAGAAUUGAGAGCUGAAAAUGAGAAGCUUCGGGCGGAGAAUAUAAGGUAUAAAGAAGCUCUUGGCAAUGCUAGUUGCCCGAAUUGUGGCGGUCCUGCUUCCAUUGGGGAAAUGUCAUUCGAUGAGCAGCAUUUGAGGAUUGAGAACGCUCGUCUCAGAGAAGAGAUUGACAGAAUAUCUGGAAUUGCUGCAAAAUAUGUUGGAAAGCCCAUGCUUACAUAUCCAAAUCUUUCUACUACUGGGCCACUUGAUCUAGGAGUUGGUAAUUUUGGGCCUCAAACAGGCCUAGUUGGAGAAAUAUACAAUGCUAGUGACCUUUUAAGGUCAGUUUCAGGCCCAAUAGAUGCUGAUAAGCCCAUCAUAAUUGAACUUGCUGUUGCAGCUAUGGAAGAACUUAUAAGAAUGGCCCAAACUGGAGAACCAUUGUGGAUUAAAACCCUAGAUAACUCGUCUGAGACGUUGUCUGAAGAGGAAUAUUUUCGGACUUUCCCUCAGGGAAUUGGGCCUAAACCUUUGGGCCUAACAUCUGAAGCCUCGAGAGAAUCCGCUGUUGUUAUUAUGAAUCACAUCAAUUUAGUUGAAAUUUUGAUGGAUGUGAAUCAAUGGACAAGUGUUUUUGCUGGCCUAGUAUCAAGAUCAUUGACAUUAGAAGUCCUAUCAACUGGUGUAGCUGGAAAUUACAAUGGAGCUUUACAAGUGAUGACAGCUGAGUUCCAGGUUCCUUCACCACUCGUUCCAACACGCGAAAAUUAUUUUGUGAGAUAUUGUAAACACCAUGCUGAUGGAACAUGGGCUGUAGUUGAUGUCUCCCUGGACCAUUUACGUCCUACUGCAGUGUCGCGUGAUAGAAGAAGGCCAUCGGGUUGUUUAAUUCAAGAAUUGCCAAAUGGUUACUCAAAGGUUACGUGGAUUGAGCACGUUGAAGUGGAUGAUAGAUCAGCCCAUAACAUCUAUAGACCUCUUGUGAAUUCAGGCCUCGCAUUUGGGGCGAAACGUUGGGUAGCAACUUUGGACAGACAAUGUGAACGACUAGCAAGUGCAAUGGCUAUUAACAUCCCAACAGGAGAAGUUGGAGUCAUAACGAGUCCUGAUGGCCGUAAAAGUAUGUUAAAACUUGCUGAGAGGAUGGUGAUGAGCUUUUGUGCCGGUGUUGGUGCCUCGACUGCUCACACGUGGACUACAUUAUCCGGAAGCGGUGCUGAUGAUGUUAGAGUUAUGACUCGAAAGAGUAUAGAUGAUCCAGGGAGACCUCCUGGUAUUGUCCUGAGUGCAGCCACUUCAUUUUGGCUUCCUGUUUCUCCUAAGAGGGUCUUCGAUUUUCUACGCGAUGAGAACUCCAGAAAUGAGUGGGAUAUACUUUCAAAUGGGGGACUAGUUCAAGAAAUGGCGCAUAUUGCAAAUGGUCGUGAUCCUGGAAACUGCGUAUCUCUCCUCCGCGUUAAUAGCGGGAACUCAAGCCAGAGCAACAUGCUAAUACUCCAAGAGAGUUCAACAGACUCAACAGGAUCUUAUGUUAUCUACGCUCCAGUCGAUAUUGUUGCAAUGAAUGUGGUGUUGAGUGGUGGUGAUCCCGACUAUGUUGCUCUACUACCAUCUGGAUUCGCUAUACUUCCAGAUGGUGGUGGAGGAAUUAAUACUACUUGUACUAGCGGAUCGCUUCUCACUGUUGCAUUUCAGAUUUUAGUCGAUUCGAUUCCAACUGCAAAACUAUCUCUUGGGUCAGUUGCAACUGUUAAUAGUCUCCUCAAAUGCACGGUUGAAAGGAUCAAAAAUGCUUUAGCUUGUGACACAAUGCCUGAUGGAAAAAUCUAAGCUAUAUACAUUGGAAUUUGGCUUACUGACGAGCCAAAUUCUGAUGUGACGUCCGUCAGAAAUUACCUACCUUCAGAUGAUUAAUUUGACGGAUGGAGGAGUAAAAAGCUAUGUUAUUACGCGUGGAGCCUUAAUUAUGUAUGUCGAGGCUAUGGAUAGGAGUCAAGAACGAACCUCAAAUGUAUUAGGUUCGGGUAUUGACUUCACAAGUGAGGAAAAUUUUAUUAUGUAAACCAAACAAGGCCUUAUUUUUCAUGAUGAUAAUUAAGCUCCAAAAUUUGUCAAAUUAAUGUUAAUUAAUUAUUAAUUAUGUUAUUAGUAGUUUUUACUUUUA